rnacentral:tRNA from 1 species
GCGCUCGCGCGCCGUGUCGCACCCUUCGGGUGCUGGCGCUCCGCGAGGGCGCGGCACGAGCCGCGACGGCCUGUCGGCCUUGCGAGGCUCUGCCUCGAUGCCGGCUACCAUCUGCGCUUGGGGCUUAGGGCUUGUAGCUCAGUUGGUUAGAGCGCGCGCUUGAUAAGCGUGAGGUCGGAGGUUCAAGUCCUCCCAGGCCCACCAUCUCUGAUGGAAGCUAGGUAGCUUCCUGUCUCCUCUACAAAGGUAUCAGGGGCCGUAGCUCAGCUGGGAGAGCGCCUGCUUUGCAAGCAGGAUGUCGUCGGUUCGAUCCCGUCCGGCUCCACCAUUACCUUUGGUGUCGAGUAGAGAUGAGGCGUCAGAAAAAGUCAUUCGUAAAAAGGUUUUGUGGUGAGCCUCUAGCUUGCCGCUUGUUCUGUUUGACAUUGUAAAGAGAAGAUUUGUUCGAACUUCAUGAGCUUGAAAAGGUUUGUGAUUUGUCGCUGGAGACGCUCAAUCUCCCGCAUAUGAUGGGCUUGCCUAACCGCACCCUCGAACCGAUCUCGAGAAGCUGGUCUUUUUGUGCCAAU